UACAGAGGUCUCAAGCGUUGUUCGGAUUCCUUGGGCGUAAAGGGUGCGUAGGCGGCGCGGUAAGUCGGGUGUGAAAUAUCGGAGCUUAACUCCGAAACUGCAUUCGAUACUGCCGUGCUUGAGGACUGGAGAGGAGACUGGAAUUUACGGUGUAGCGGUGAAAUGCGUAGAUAUCGUAAGGAAGACCAGUGGCGAAGGCGGGUCUCUGGACAGUUCCUGACGCUGAGGCACGAAGGUCAGGGGAGCAAACGGG
rnacentral:rRNA from 1 species